rnacentral:rRNA from 1 species
AGUGAACGCUGGCGGCGUGCCUAAUACAUGCAAGUCGAACGAAGUGGCGCACGGGGGAGUAAUAUAUAGUUAAUCUGCCCUACACAGAGGAACAACAGGUGGAAACGGCUGCUAAUACCUCAUAGUGUAGGAUGAGACUAUAUCGUAUCAGCUAGUUGGUAAGGUAAUGGCUUACCAAGGCUAUGACGCGUAACUGGUCUGAGAGGAUGAUCAGUCACAUUGGAACUGAGACACGAUCCAAGCUCCUACGGGAAGCAGCAGUAAUGAAUAUUGCGCAAUGGGGGAGACCCUGACGCAGCAACGCCGCGUAGAGGAUGGCACUUUUCGAAGCGUAAGCUCGUUUUAUCAGGAAAGCGGUACCUAAUGAGUAAGCAACGGCUAACUCCGUGCCAGCCGCCGCGGUAAUUC